AUUGAACGCUGGCGGCAGGCCUAACACAUGCAAGUCGAGCGAGCGGCGGACGGGUGAGUAAUGUCUGGGAAACUGCCUGAUGGAGGGGGAUAACUACUGGAAAAGGUAGCUAAUAACGCAUACCAUCAGAUGUGCCCAGAUGGGAUUAGCUAGUAGGUGGGGUAAUGGCUCACCUAGGCGACGAGCCCUAGCUGGUCUGAGAGGAUGACCAUCCACACGGUACCUGAGACACGGUCCAGACUCCUACGGGAGGCAGCAGUGGGGCAUAUUGCACAAUGGGCGCAAGCCUGAUGCAGCCAUGCCGCGUGUGUGAAGAAGGCCUGCGGGUGGUAAAGCACUUUCAGCGAGGAGGCGUUACUCGCAGAAGAAGCACCGGCUAACUCCGUGCCAGCAGCCGCGGUAAUUC
rnacentral:rRNA from 1 species